rnacentral:rRNA from 1 species
AACGCUGGCGGCGUGCCUAAUACAUGCACGUCGAGCGAACAGAUGAGGAGCUUGCUCCUCUGACGUUAGCGGCGGACGGGUGAGUAACACGUGGAUAACCUACCUAUAAGACUGGGAUAACUUCGGGAAACCGGAGCUAAUACCGGAUAAUAUAUUGAACCGCAUGGUUCAAUAGUGAAAGACGGUUUUGCUGUCACUUAUAGAUGGAUCCGCGCCGCAUUAGCUAGUUGGUAAGGUAACGGCUUACCAAGGCAACGAUGCGUAGCCGACCUGAGAGGGUGAUCGGCCACACUGGAACUGAGACACGGUCCAGACUCCUACGGGAGGCAGCAGUAGGGAAUCUUCCGCAAUGGGCGAAAGCUUGACGGAGCAACGCCGCGUGAGUGAUGAAGGUCUUCGGAUCGUAAAACUCUGUUAUUAGGGAAGAACAAAUGUGUAAGUAACUAUGCACGUCUUGACGGUACCUAAUCAGAAAGCCACGGCUAACUACGUG